GGAAUAUAAGAACCCAUCUCUUAACUUUUAACUAAAAAAGUUAAGAACCGGUUCUUAGCUUUUUUAGUUAAAAGUUAAGAGAAAAGUUCUUAUAUUCC
rfam:Brassica napus, WGS project CCCW01000000 data, contig: 5757